AUUGCAAGCAAGCGUCUGUCGACAGUGAAAUUAUGUAUACGUCGGAAGCAGUCUUUGUGACCUUUACCAUUUGGAUUGCCUUUGAUGUCACCGGCUGUGAGGCCGUUCGAGUUGCAUAAGAUUUGAAUCAAACGUACGUUCUGUUCAAGAUGAGUAACCCUUGUACAGCUGCGACUUUACCAAAAGUAAUAUGUCGUAGAUUUUCUACCGGAUCAAUGCAACACAUAAAACAGAAUGAUGAUGUGAGUGUAGGAAAGAAGAUUUGGGACAAAUGGGCAAAAGGACUAUUAUUAUGUGUUAGUGUAGGAGGACUAAGUUUUUCUGCUGUUAGUACAAGAAACUUAUACGACUCUAAAAAUAAAUGUAAAGCAUAUUGGAACGAGAGAAAAUUCUAAAAGAUAGUUUUUUAGGAAAAUGCUUGUGUGAUUAUAGGAAAAUCCAAAGAAGUUCUGUGAAACCCCGUUUUAUUGUGAAGUAAAACAUGCUUCUAUUCAUUCACUUAGUACCAACUUCAUUAGUUGUACUUUGUUUUAAAACCAGUCUCGGAAUGCUGUUUCCUCAUUGGUUAAAAUAUAAAGACACAUUAAUAUAUU